UAGGGAAUCUUCGGCAAUGGACGAAAGUCUGACCGAGCAACGCCGCGUGAGUGAAGAAGGUUUUCGGACCGUAAAACUCUGUUGUUAGAGAAGAACAAGGACGUUAGUAACUGAACGUCCCCUGACGGUAUCUAACCAGAAAGCCACGGCUAACUACGUGCCAGCAGCCGCGGUAAUACGUAGGUGGCAAGCGUUGUCCGGAUUUAUUGGGCGUAAAGCGAGCGCAGGCGGUUUCUUAAGUCUGAUGUGAAAGCCCCCGGCUCAACCGGGGAGGGUCAGUGGAAACUUGGAGACUUGAGUGCAGAAGAGGAGAGUUGAAUUCCAUGUGUAGCGGUGAAAUGCGUAGAUAUAUGGAGGAACACCAGUGGCGAAGGCGGCUCUCUGGUCUGUAACUGACGCUGAGGCUCGAAAGCGUGGGGAGCAAACAGG
rnacentral:rRNA from 1 species